UACGUAGGGGGCAAGCGUUGUCCGGAAUCAUUGGGCGUAAAGAGCGUGUAGGCGGCUCGGUAAGUCCGCUCUGAAAGCCCGGGGCUCAACCCCGGGAGGCGGGCGGAUACUGUCGGGCUAGAGUCCGGAAGAGGCGAGUGGAAUUCCUGGUGUAGCGGUGAAAUGCGCAGAUAUCAGGAGGAACACCAAUGGCGAAGGCAGCUCGCUGGGACGGUACUGACGCGUGAGACGCGAAAGCGUGGGGAGCAAACAGG
rnacentral:rRNA from 1 species